rnacentral:rRNA from 1 species
CUGAUCUACCAGUACAAAAGCUGGUAUAUACCCAUAAGACGAGAAGACCCUGCGGAGCUUUAAGUUUCAGUGCUACACCAACCAAACUAAGCCUAUUAGGACCCACACUAACCACAUAGCACUACACUUUAAGUUGGGGCAACUGCGGAGAAAAACAAAACCUCCAUGAAAACAGGCCGCAAGCCACCAUAAAACACACUAGUUACCUGGUAAAAAAAUUGACCCAGCAAUGCUGAUCACCGAACCAAGUUACCCCAGGGAUAACAGCGCCAUCCCCUUCAAGAGUUCAUAUCGCCAGGGGGGCUUACGACCUCGAUGUUGGAUCAGGACACCCAGAUGGUGUAGUCGCUAUCAAUGGUUCGUUUGUUCAACGAUUAAUGUCCUACGUGAU